AAUAGUAACACCUGAGAACACCUGAGGGGAACUGUGUGUGUGCUGGCCGUGGACAACUCAGCUGAUGACAAAAACAUGCCUUCCUGAAUGAGCCUGGCUGCUCUCAGAGAGGAGCAUCAGACCGCAGUUAGCAAGAAUAACAGAAAAGUGAGGUCCUGAGAUGGCUGUCCAAUGAAAGGAACAGUGUGUUCUGCACACCUGGAACAGCACCAUCCCCAGCAGGCAGAAGAGACUUGAGCUGGCAGAGAGUGAAGAACCACGGACCAUAUAAGAGCACCAAAAACCAUUAACAUGCUACCACCAGAGAGCAGGAAAGCCAACCUCUGGGCAGUGCGGACUCCCUGUGGUCUGUGUUUGAACAGCAGGCACUAGGACAGUGUGACCUCCCCCAUAAAUUUCCUCUCCUCGGGCUACUCCUCAUCUCUUCCAUAGGAAUCAAUUCCUUAGUCCUUGUUAUGUCUGAAUUAAGACAUAAGAACCCGAAGGGUUCCAAAAUGAUGAAAUUUCCACUUCCGCAUAUAGAAGAGGAUAAAGACGUGGCAAAUUAUUUAAUUCACCCCAAAGAGAGAAAAUAGAAAUUAAUCGGUUAGACGCUGCUAGAAGUCUCUCCACAGCAGAAUUCUAGGACAGAGUUUAGCCAGAAAUAAACGUUUCAAGGGCCUAGGACACCAAUACUUAACUCCGUGGUUCUUGAAGUUAUAAAAGUGCUGACAUCUAAAGAACAAGAUGACACUUGCAUCUGCCGAGGUUUUGUAUUUUUCUUGGGUUCACUCUUCUCACAGCAUGGAUAUGAUUUAUUUAGACUAUCAAAGAGCUUUUGAUAAGGCUCUCACAAAUGCCUAUUAUUGAAACUGGGUAACCGUGGUGUGAAAGGAAAAAGUCCUAUCAAUGAAUUAAAUGGAUUAAAAACUGCUGGAGAGGCAAAGAGGCAAAAAGCAGAAAUAAAUGACCCAUUCUCAUGUGGGGAAAGGUUAAUGAUUGAGGGCUCUUAGGCUCUGUGGUAGAAUCAGACUGAUACUUCACUAACGACCAGGACAGGGGAGCCCCAUCCUCGUUCCCGUGUUCUCCACGGAUCAGCCCCACACAGAGCCCCCAUUGAUCAAAGGGCCUGGGGCACAAGGAGGAGAUGUAAGCAGUUCAGAGAAGUGCUCCCAGUCCAGGGAAGGGCAAAUACGUAAUGAAUGUUGUUGAUCCACCCAGAGAUGCCCAAAUCCCAGGGGGACAGAAAUAAAAAUUACAGUAGCAGAAUUUUAUUGUCUAAGAACUUUGAUACACACUCCAGAGAAAGACAAGGGCCCUUUCAAACGACAAGACAUGAUAUUGGGACAAAAGGACUUCAUUUAUGGGCAUCAUAAGGAAAACAAAAAUGUUCCUCGCUGAAGAACAGCUCAUGUGGGCAUUUAGAUCUGCAAAAACCACGACGCCUACUCUUUGGAUGGAGAAGUUUAGACAUAAACAAAAGUGAAACUGGUAGGAAAGAUUAAGAAUCAGUAUCCUUUUUCUGAGGGAAACUUGGAAGAUUUGAUGCAGGUUUUAACAAAAGCAUAACCUAACAUGACAGAAUAAUCUGGAAAUCAAAUACUCUCAUUGAUUAACAUUAAUCCCUUAUAACCCAAAACUCAAUCUGGCAAUUUCAAAACAUCAUCAUGACAAACUUCACAGGAGAACUUUUGACUUAACCCUUCUUUGUCUCAGUUUCCUUAUCUGUAAAAUGGGAAUAGAAUUUACCUCACAGGAUGACUGUAAAGAUUAAAUGGGAUCAGGUAUGUAGAGCACUUAAAUAGCAAAGGUAAAAAAAAUUGUUAAAUUAUUUUUUAUUAGUAUUGUUGUUAUUAGAAUUUAUAAUAGACUAAACCCAAACACAUGCUAUAGAGAAGAGAU